GCGAUGAUCGCCGGAAGCAGGUAGCCAUAGGCCCUGAACACCUGCGCACAUGAUCGAUGCUAACCACAUCAUUUCCUCUGUUUCGAUCUGUUCUUGAGAGAUCAUCAGUCACAAUCUCUGCCUCUCGAUUAUGAGACGACGGCGAUUGAUGAUACGAUUCAUGGAAGCCCAGCCGGGGGACUGAUGGAGAAAAAUACGUUUUCGCUGUUUCCCAGAUCACGACGGAGCAGGUGGAAGCAAGAUCACCGAGAAAAAACCCUAACUGAACCAAUGAGGGUGAAAAUUUUCCAGGCGGAUCGCUGCUCUGUUCGAGCUGUAAGAAGUUUCCAUAAAUCACGCAUGCUGUUCUGUUUAGGCAGAUCGGAUCAGAUGGUAAUACGAAAUCAGGGAAGAAGAUCGCGAGCGAAUUAUUCAUCCAUGGAGAUCGGGAGUUACGGCGGCGUGGGUUCCCGGAUCAAAAUCUGUUCAGAUAAGAGAU
rnacentral:lncRNA from 1 species